GUGCACACGCGUACACACUCCCUGCGCGGGGCGCCCGGCGUCUGUCUCCUCCCGCUUGCCGUAGGAGGCGGCGCGGCACCGACAGUGGGCAGCCACCACCCCCUCGGCGGACCGGUGCCGCGGAGCCGGGGCCCAGGUCUCUCGGGGCAGGUGGGUUUCCCGCCCCGAGGCCCUCGGACUGUCCGCACCGCCCGGGAGACACUGCCGGCGGCCUGUCCGCGGUUCACCUCGGCGGCCUUCCCUGUCCUCGCGAGUGGCAGGCGGCCCCGCGUCGGGCGCCCCCGAUUGUGGUGCCGAAGGGCUGGCAGGUUUCGUAGUCUGAGGCGCGCACCGUUACUGUGAGGCUGUAGGUUCUAUGCAAUCCUAUCAAAAAUCCCAGUUGCUUUUUUCCCCCAGAAAUUGACAAGCAGAUUCUAAAAUUCACAUGGCAGUGCAAGGGACUCAGAAAAGCCAAAAGAAUCAUGAAGAAAAAAGUUGAAACAUUCAUUCUUCCUGAUUUCAAAGCUGACUACAGAGCUACAAUCAUCAAGGUUCUUGACACAGCUCCCAAAACCCUUGGAAUUUCCGGAGAGACAAGAGCAACAGGAACUUCUCUUGUAGUGUUCAGUCCUUGCUCCUCAGUUCCUGAAAUCACUUUCAGAGUCAUAAAGGUGAAAUGGGUAUCCUGUUAUUUAAGUGUUUAUGUUAAUGAGGUGACUUUUGGAAAGCCCUAAGAAUGGAGAUCGCUAGCAAAGGACCCAACCAGGGAAUACAGGGUUGGAACUUCAGCCCCACCCCCUUACCUCCACAGAGGGGAGAGAAACUAGAGGCUGAAUCAGUUGCCAAUGACCAGUGAUUUGAUCAAUCAUAUCCAAGUAAUGAAGCCUCCAAAACCCUCCGCAAGGACAGGGUUCAGAGAGCUGCCUGUUGGUGACUGCCUGGAGAAGUGGGGAGAGGCAAGCAGGAGGGGGCUUGUUAUCUCUGCGCCCUCUCCCCACGCCUUGCCAUGUGCGUCUCUUCCAUCUGGCUAUUGUUUUUAUAAUAAACCAGUCAU